GACGAACGCUGGCGGCGUGCCUAAUACAUGCAAGUAGAACGCACAGUUUAUACCGUAGCUUGCUACACCAUACACUGUGAGUUGCGAACGGGUGAGUAACGCGUAGGUAACCUGCCUGGUAGCGGGGGAUAACUAUUGGAAACGAUAGCUAAUACCGCAUAAUAUUGAUUAUUGCUUGAUAAUUGAUUGAAAGAUGCUAUUGCAUCACUACCAGCUGGAUCUGCGUUGUAUUAGCUAGUAGGUGAGGUAACGGCUCACCUAGGCGACGAUACAUAGCCGACCUGAGAGGGUGAUCGGCCACACUUGGACUGAGACACGGCCCAUACUCCUACGGGAGGCAGCAGGAGGGAAUCUUCGGAAAUGGACGAAAGUCUGACCGAACAACGCCGCGUGAGUGAAGAAGGUUUUCGGAUCGUAAAGCUCUGUUGUAAGAGAAGAACGGGUGUGAGAGUGGAAAGUUCACACUGUGACGGUAUCUUAACAGAAAGGGACGGCUAACUACGUG
rnacentral:rRNA from 1 species